rnacentral:lncRNA from 1 species
UGAACAUUUAUCAUUUCCAGUGAUGCUCAGUGCUAUGGGGGUUGAGGUUACCAAGCCUGGAAAUGAGUUUUAUUAUGGUAAAAGCAGAAGUUCAAGGCUAAAAAGAUGAACAAAUACAAGGAAAGGAAAAAGAGGGAUCUCCAAACUGAGAGAAUCAGGAAUGUCUACCCUAAGAUAUGAUUUCUAGGAUGCUUCUUGUUCUUUUAAAAACAGGUAUAAAGCUUUCUUUUUAUUAGAAACACAAUACAAAAUGUGGGAGAGCACUCAGAGAAGCAGUUUGUUUAUCUAAGGCAGAAGCAAAGCAGUAAUAUACACCCAAAGGAGGAGUGCGGGUGCAGGCGUCCUCCUGAAUGAGAAUUGUUUGGGAUGCUUGUUGUUGGAUGAGCAGGAAUUAGGCACAAAGGGACAGAUGAUAAGCUAUACUUUAUGCCCAUUCAGCUUCUUUUGAAUAUCUUCCUAUAUUUUCUACAGAAUGCUUUCCUAAAGUGGAAGCUGCUAUUUGAUUCCCCAGUCUCCCUAGGGUACUAAAGAAAGGAGAGAAAUGAAUUAUCUCCUAAAACCACCAGUUAGAUAUUCAUGCCUGAGGUCUUAGUCGUAUGAAGCCUACUUCCUGAGAAGGUAACAGAGCAUGCAGGGGGGCAUCUCAUCUUCAGAGGCAGUAGAAACAGAAGUCCUAAUAGUAGUAUUCCUUUUUCAGUGUCCUUGCUCUGAUAUAUGUGUCCACUGGUGAUUGGGGGGCAGAUCACUCUAUUGUUCUUAGUUACUUUACCUUCAGGCCUGGCUUUUUGUGUUUCCCUGAGAUUCUGUGAAUUCUCUAGUAUUAUUAAUAAAUUAUCUUUUUUGCUUAACUGGAUAAAAGUGAUUCUGUUGAUUAUAAUUAGGAAUCCUUCCCAAAACAGAAGCAUUUCAGGUAGAAGUAAUAACUGGCAAGAUUUGAAGGGCAUGAACAUGAAGCAUUCUGAAAACUGAAGCUGUGAUAGUAAUUUGGUGUUCUGGAAUGGAAAGCAGGUGAGAAGGCAUACUGGAGAUGUUGAUAGGCCUCAUGUAAUGGACAUUGGAUUAUUUUAAUCAGGAAGAUAAUAAGAUCACAUUUAUGUUUAGGAAAAUUUCUUUGGCAGCCAUGUAGAAAAUGGACUAGAGGGGGAUAUAAGUGAGAAAAGAAGCAUGGAGAUCUAUUAGGAGAAAACUGUAGAGUGCAACAGUGAAAUUGUGAGUCCUUGGUUAAGUCUGUCAUAGUGUGGAUAAAGAUCAUGGGACAGAACAAGAAGAUGUUUAGGACAUACAAGAAAUUUAAAAUGUUGAUUAAUUAUUUGUGAGAAUGAUGAAGAAAAGAGGUUCUGAAAUGAGGCUCAUGUUUCUAAUUUAGGAGAUUAGAUACAUGUUAGUGCAGGUCACAAGGGAGUAUAAAGGGAGGUAGGAAUGUACAGUGAACAUUUGACAUGUGCUAUUGAAAAGUCAAAAAGAGAUAGCCACUGGAAUAUUGGAUAUGUGAGUCUGAAACUGACAACACUUACAACUUGAACCCAGACUAAACCAGUGAUUUUUAAGUUCAAAUCACUCACCUGAUGUCUGGACUUACUGAGGUUCAGAUUCUUGGUGCCUCAGCACAGAAGGAAUUCAGCAAGAGACAAAGUGAUAAGCAAGAAAUAGAUUUAUUUAGAUAAGAUGCUUGUGAGAGAUACACGUGGACAGGCAAGGAGGGUUUGUUUGCCCCAAGGACUAGUUGGGCUACAUUUUUAUAAACUGAGACCUACUCUUCCUUUUUCUUUAAGUAGCAGCUCCUCCUUGGUAUCCUGUAAGAAAGUACUUGACCCUAUAAAAUCAAACUAGGACUGUCAAGGUGCUAAUUCGAAUCAGCAGAAGGGAGGUCCUUAAACUCCUGCCCUUAGUCCUAAGGGUCAUUGUCUUGCUGAACUUGAAUGAGGGCCUCAUUUUAAAGACCUGAGUCAUAUCUCCUGCUUUUAAUUGUGGUUUCGUAGUUAAGCAAGCUGCUUCAUUCUGAUGGUUCUGAUGGCUUUCUUGAGUGAUCAUUAACUUACAGUGAUCUCCCAAAUUUCCCUAGGUUUCCAUCUCUAUGGUCCCCUGUUGGGACUUCUACAACUACCUGUGAAACUAUCCUACUCCAUCCUUAUCAAGACUAGGACGUUAGAGAUUUCUGAGCUAAUAAUGUAUAGGUGAUUGUAGACAUGUUAAUAAUGGCAAGAUCAACCAGGUGGUUUACAUCUUGUGAGAAGGGAAAGGAGAAGAGGAUAGAACCCUGGGUAAUAUCAACAUGUUAGAUUUGCUUGGAGGGAAUGAAGAAUGUAAAAACAGACUGAGAAGGAAUAAACAAGAGAUUAAGCGUUGUAUCCUCUUCCUCUUGUGUUUGGUGGUCUUAGAAGAUUAAUGACGCUGGCAGAAAAAAAGAAAAUGAAUCUUCAUUUUUUUUUGCCAUGUGGAAGGACAAGUUCCAAUCUAGAUUUCUGCACAUUUUUAUGGGAAGGAGAUAUAUUAUUAGGGUUGUUCUGGCCUUGCAUCAACUCAAACAUUGGAUUUAGAAUUUUCUCCUUGUCUCCCUCCUUUAUACUCCAGCUACAAAUAUCAGCUCAUGGCAUGUAGGAAAAUUUAAUCUGUAGGUCAUGGGAAGAGGAAUACAUCAAACAUUACAUACCUACAAUGUAAAAAACCAUAUGCCAAACAUUCCUGUUUCCAUAAGUUCUUUUGGACACCCAGUAGAAUUCUAUUGGCCUUUUACCCAACUUUUUGCUUUCAUAAUGUCUGUUUUUUUCCCCCUUAUCUUUUAUUUUUAUUCAUUACUCAGUCCACUUUUCCAUCCAAAGAAAAUAAAAAAUAGGUUAUUCUUAUUUCAAUUUAGUUCUUUUUUUGAGAUAAAUUUUUCUUGUUCAUAAUUUAUCAAAAUCUUUUCUUAAAUAACAGUUCUCUUUUGAAAAGACUACUAGUACUAGCUGUUUAGAGAAUCAGCGUACUGGAGUUCCCAUCGUGGCGCAGUGGAAAUGAAUCUGACUAGGUUCAUUUCAUUCAUUUCAUGAAGUUGCAGGUUCGAUCCCUGGCCUUGCUCAGUGGGUUAAGGAUCCAGCAUUGCCAUGAGCUGUGGUGUAGGUCGGAGACUUGGCUGGGAUCUGGCAUUGCUGUGGCUCUGGUGUAGGCUGGCAGCUGUAGCUGUGAUUAGACCCUUAGCCUGGGCACCUCCAUAUGCCAUGGGUGUGGCCCUAAAAAG